rnacentral:rRNA from 1 species
UCAGGCCUAACACAUGCAAGUCGAGGGGCAGCACAAAACAAGCUUGCUUGUUUGGUGGCGACCGGCGCACGGGUGCGUAACGCGUAUGCAACCUACCCUGUACUGGGGGAUAGCCCGGAGAAAUUCGGAUUAAGACCCCAUGGUAUUAUCAUUUCGCAUGUUAUGAUAAUUAAAGGUUACGGUACAGGAUGGGCAUGCGUCCUAUUAGCUUGUUGGUGAGGUAACGGCUCACCAAGGCGACGAUAGGUAGGGGGCCUGAGAGGGUGGUCCCCCACACUGGUACUGAGACACGGACCAGACUCCUACGGGAGGCAGCAGUGAGGAAUAUUGGUCAAUGGGCGCAAGCCUGAAAGAGCCAUGCCGCGUGCAGGAAGAAGGUCCUA